UAGGGAAUCUUCCACAAUGGACGCAAGUCUGAUGGAGCAACGCCGCGUGAGUGAAGAAGGUCUUCGGAUCGUAAAACUCUGUUGUUAGAGAAGAACACGAGUGAGAGUAACUGUUCAUUCGAUGACGGUAUUUAACCAGAAAGUCACGGCUAACUACGUGCCAG
rnacentral:rRNA from 1 species